rnacentral:tRNA from 1 species
GUAUAGCUAAGUGGUAGAGUGCUUGCCUAGCAUGUACCAGGUUCUGGGUUCAAUUCCCAGUAC